UGGGUUUCUGUGAAACAAAUUGCCAAAAAUGAACAUGGAUGGUUCCAAUUAAUGCUCUUCUCAAGUAAAAUGAA